UGUUGGUUAAGACAAGGGGAUGUAAGAUGUCCAGGGAACAGGUGUUGGUUAAGACAAGGGGACGUAAGAUGUCCAGGGAACAGGUGUUGGUUAAGACAAGGGGAUGUAAGAUGUCCAGGGAACAGGUGUUGGUUAAGACAAGGGGACGUAAGAUGUCCAGGGAACAGGUGUUGGUUAAGACAAGGGGAUGUAAGAUGUCCAGGGAACAGGUGUUGGUUAAGACAAGGGGAUGUAAGAUGUCCAGGGAACAGGUGUUGGUUAAGACAAGGGGAUGUAAGAUGUCCAGGGAACAGGUGUUGGUUAAGACAAGGGGAUGUAAGAUGUCCAGGGAACAGGUGUUGGUUAAGACAAGGGGAUGUAAGAUGUCCAGGGAACAGGUGUUGGUUAAGACAAGGGGAUGUAAGAUGUCCAGGGAACAGGUGUUGGUUAAGACAAGGGGAUGUAAGAUGUCCAGGGAACAGGUGUUGGUUAAGACAAGGGGAUGUAAGAUGUCC